rnacentral:rRNA from 1 species
CGCGAAAUAAUUUGAGCUAACUACUUACACAUUUUAGAUUAAACCAUUGCGUGUUGCAAAACGAAACCUAGAUAAGUAGUUAGGGGUGAUAGGCCAAGCAAGAAUUAAGAUAACUCGAUUUUAAGGAAAUAUAUUUAGUAUAAAGUCAAGUUUGGAGUGACAAGGCUCUAAGUGGGAACUAAGUGUUUUAAUAAUUGUGCUCACAGCUUUAAUCAGCGAUGCACCUUGUAGUUUAAUACUUAAGUAAAUAAAGUUUGUUAGAUAAUACUUAAACUGUACAAUUUAUAUAAUGUUAAUAAUGUUAAUAUAAGUAAAAAAAAAAGAUUAGUAAAAUGAACUCGGCAAUAAAUCUUUCAACUGUUUACCAAAAACAUAACUGCGUGAAUUAACUCGUAGCGUUUUCUGCUCAAUGAAUAUUAAAUGGCCGCAGUACCCUGACUGUGCAAAGGUAGCAUAAUCAGUUGGCUUAUAAUUGAAGUCUAGCAUGAAUGAAUACAUGGGGGAUUACUGUAUCUUACUAAGUUGUUGAAAUUAUUAAGUAAGUGAAAAUACUUACGCGUAAAUAAAAGACGAGAAGACCCUAGAAAUUUUAAUUGUAUUUUGCUGGGGCGGCAUAGUAGCAUGGAACCUACAAUAUAGAACAUGAGUUUAAUGAAAAGAAAGAUUAAUUACUCUAGGGAUAACAGCAUAAUUUAUUAAAGAUUGUGACCUCGAUGUUGGACUAGGAAAUUUAGGCCUAGAAGGCGUGUAAUAUUGCUCUGUUC